rnacentral:rRNA from 1 species
UACGGGGGGAGCAAGCGUUGUUCGGAUUUACUGGGCGUAAAGGCGCGUAGGCGGCCAGCGCAAGUCGGUUGUGAAAUCUCCGGGCUUAACUCGGAAAGGUCAACUGAUACUGCGCGGCUAGAGUGCAGAAGGGGCAACUGGAAUUCUCGGUGUAGCGGUGAAAUGCGUAGAUAUCGAGAGGAACACCUGCGGCGAAGGCGGGUUGCUGGGCUGACACUGACGCUGAGUGCGCGAAAGCCAGGGAGCGAACGGG